rnacentral:lncRNA from 1 species
AUACAUAGGUGCACAUAGGCACACAUGCAGGCACACACAGACACAUACAUACACACACACAUGCAUGCGCACACACAUACAUGCAUGCACACAUGCACAUCCCCACACAUAUGCACAUGGAUGCAUAUACAUGCACACACACAGGUGUACACACAUGCAGGCACAUGUAUACAUGGAUGUAGGCACAUACUAAUGCACACAUGUAUACAUGCACAUAGGCUCAUACACACAUGGAUGCACAUACACAUGCAUGCACAUGAUACACAUGCACACAGAUACGUAUUGUCAACCUAAGGAAAUAAACUUAGACAAAAUUAAUAUAAGUAGGGGGUUUCCUUGAGCCACAUUUGAGGACUGCAGCCCAGGAAACCCUCCAACUCGCCUUAGGAAGUGGCUGUGGAGAACAACGUCGAGACGGGAGCUUCUAA